rnacentral:rRNA from 1 species
GCAGUCGAACGGACCCUUCGGGGUUAGUGGCGGACGGGUGAGUAACACGUGGGAACGUGCCUUUAGGUUCGGAAUAGCUCCUGGAAACGGGUGGUAAUGCCGAAUGUGCCCUUCGGGGGAAAGAUUUAUCGCCUUUAGAGCGGCCCGCGUCUGAUUAGCUAGUUGGUGAGGUAAUGGCUCACCAAGGCGACGAUCAGUAGCUGGUCUGAGAGGAUGACCAGCCACAUUGGGACUGAGACACGGCCCAAACUCCUACGGGAGGCAGCAGUGGGGAAUCUUGCGCAAUGGGCGAAAGCCUGACGCAGCCAUGCCGCGUGAAUGAUGAAGGUCUUAGGAUUGUAAAAUUCUUUCACCGGGGACGAUAAUGACGGUACCCGGAGAAGAAGCCCCGGCUAACUUCGUGCCAGCAGCCGCGGUAAUACGAAGGGGGCUAGCGUUGCUCGGAAUUACUGGGCGUAAAGGGCGCGUAGGCGGACAUUUAAGUCAGGGGUGAAAUCCCAGAGCUCAACUCUGGAACUGCCUUUGAUACUGGAUGUCUUGAGUGUGAGAGAGGUAUGUGGAACUCCGAGUGUAGAGGUGAAAUUCGUAGAUAUUCGGAAGACACCAGUGGCGAA